rnacentral:rRNA from 1 species
GAUGAACGCUGGCGGCGUGCCUAAUACAUGCAAGUCGAGCGAAUUGAUUAGAAGCUUGCUUCUAUGACGUUAGCGGCGGACGGGUGAGUAACACGCGGGCAACCUGCCUGUAAGACUGGGAUAACUUCGGGAAACCAGAGCUAAUACCGGAUACAUUCUUUCUUCGCCUGAAGAAAGAUGGAAAGAUGGUUUCGGCUAUCACUUACAGAUGGGCCCGCGGCGCAUUAGCUAGUUGGUGAGGUAACGGCUCACCAAGGCAACGAUGCGUAGCCGACCUGAGAGGGUGAUCGGCCACACUGGGACUGAGACACGGCCCAGACUCCUACGGGAGGCAGCAGUAGGGAAUCUUCCGCAAUGGACGAAAGUCUGACGGAGCAACGCCGCGUGAGCGAAGAGGGCCUUCGGGUCGUAAAGCUCUGUUGUUAGGGAAGAACAAGUACCAGAGUAACUGCUGGUACCUUGACGGUACCUAACCAGAAAGCCACGGCUAACUACGUGCCAGCCGCCGCGGUAAAAC